ACGUAAUUAUUACAAUCAAAUCAUAAAAUUAUCUUUAUAUUAUCCCUGUCUGCCGAUACAACAUAAUUUUUCAUUCAUAUUGCAUAAUGGCAAAAAUUAUUAUAUGUAAAAAUUGAAUCAAAAUAACAUCGAAUCGAUAUCUAAAUGAUGUAAUAUCGAUGUCUUAGCAAAAAAUCCAUAAUCUGCCUGUUUAAAAAUCUGACGAUGAAUAUGUGUCACAAAUAAUCUUUUCCUUUAAAAAAUAUCAUAUAGAGCACGGACUUCGAAAUAAGCUUCAAAUUUCGAGCAUUAUUUCGAUACGAUGUAAUGUCGAUGAUUUCGACGUCAAUUAGACAUCGAUUUGAUGGGUCAUUUUUCGCUGGGAUUUUCGGCAGGGAACAUACUGCGUCCACGCAUACACUUUAAUGCGAAGCAAGGUUCCACAUGGGUUUGUAAUUUUCCACGCGAAGCAAGGUCUAGCCCCAUCAUCUGCUGCUUUCAAUGCGAAAGGAAAUCUAUUAUUGUACAGUUUCACAUAGGUUUUGAAUACAGUCAAUAAUUUUCGAGAUAUUGAUGUUCCAAAAUUUCGUUUCAAAAACGUUAAUCCGAUUCUUUUAUUUUAUGUGCAAUAAUAUCAUGUGUGCAAUGUGUAUGUAUGCAAUAACGUCAUGUGUGCAAUGUGUAUGUGCGCAAUAAAAUCAUGUAUGCAAAAUGUUAAUACGAUUUCCUUAUUUUAUGUGUGCGCAAUACGGUCAUGUGUGCAAUCUGUAUGUGCGCAAUAAAGUCAUGUGUGCAAAACGUUAAUUCGAUUUUCUUAUUUUAUGUGUGCAAGGAGUAUGUGCGCAAUAAUGUCAUGUGUGCAAUCUCCUUGUGUGCAAUGUAUAUGUGUGCAAUAAUGUCAUAUGUGCAAACGUACGUUCGUAUUUUUAAUUUUUACAUGUGCGCAAUAAUGCUUGUAGGCAAUCGCUCUGUAGGCAAUCGAAGCUGUCGGCAAAAUGUUGUAGGCAAACGAAGCUGUUGGCAAUUGGGGAUGUAGGUAAACGGAGCCUCCUCGAAAAAAAUAAAUAAUUUCCUGCCAAGGAAUGUGUUAGCAUGCCUGGUUCGAACAAGAACAUACAUUCGAUUAAAGCACAUGAAUUUAGAAAUAAAAAUGAACGCCUGCAAAAUGGGUCGCCUUCUGAUUGGAUCAACCGCCAAAGCUGCCGCCAUUAUGCGCAAUGCUUCAUCUUGUUUCUUUACACCAUUCUAUUAUGGUUAUCAUGGGAUUGAAACAUCUUUUUGUAUUUUUUUGACACAUAACAUAAUAAUAACAAGACGCCAAAAUCAAAUGUUGAACAUAUAUAAAACAUAAAAAAUUAUCGAAUUUUUUCCCAUGUAAUGUGUAAUAAAGCAAGAAACUAUUAUAUCCUGUUACAUAUCUUUAUUUAUUAAUUAAACUUAUCAGUUAGAUAAAUUUUUAAAAUAAUAUUACAUUUAUAAUGCUAAAAGAAAAUUAAUCCUCUAGGAUCUGAUGUAACUGUAAAAUAAAAAUGUAUAUCUAUCUUUUUUUAUGUUAAUGUCAAGAAUAUCAUAUCACAGUUAUGCACUAGUAACAAAACUUUGUUACAGUUAUGCACUAGUAAACAAAACUUUGUUAGAAAGAUAAAAAAUUUACAAGUAUAUAUUUAUAAUUAAAGUCAAAAUUAGAAUCAACAUCAGAUAUUAGCCUAUAUCUAUAUCAAUAUCUAAAAUGAGUAAAAUCAAUAGCAAAAACAUCGUUGAUAGAAUAUUAAUCUAGUAUUAUAAAAAAUUAUUUCAAGUAUAAUAAGAUGGAAUAAAUUAAAAACCGAACAGUGACUUAAGAUCAUUGAGAGUGAUCUUCAUAGCAGCGUUAUUUUUGUCGCCACUCAAUACGUUGCUUGCUAUCUCGAGCUUUCGUUCUUGCAAAGCUUGUAUAC